rnacentral:rRNA from 1 species
CCUACGGGAGGCAGCAGUGAGGAAUAUUGGUCAAUGGGCGGAAGCCUGAACCAGCCAAGUAGCGUGCAGGAUGACGGCCCUACGGGUUGUAAACUGCGUUUAUACGGGAAUAACGCGCCUUACGUGUAGGGCUUUGCAUGUACCGUAUGAAUAAGGACCGGCUAAUUCCGUUCCAUCAGCCGCGGUAAUACGGAAGGGCCGGGCGUUACCCGGAUUUAUUGGGUUUAAAGUGAGCGUAGGCCGCAUGUCAAGCGUGCUGUGAAAUGUCCGGGCUCAACCCGGGCCUUGCAGCGCGUACUGGCGUGCUUGAGUCCGCGAAAAGCAGGCGGAAUUCGUGGUGUAGCGGUGAAAUGCUUAGAUAUGACGAAGAACCCCGAUUGCGAAGGCAGCUUGCUGCAGCGGAACUGACGCUGAUGCUCGAAAGCGCGGGUAUCGAACAGGAUUAGAUACCCCUGUAGUC